GUAUUGCUGAGGAGUCUCAAAAUAAGACGAAUCGGCCGUCUAGUAC
rfam:Schistosoma mansoni strain Puerto Rico chromosome 5, complete genome